ensembl:lncRNA
CUCCCUGUUGUGCUGUGCACACGCUCACGGCCUGGUGGAGACAGGGCCCCCAGCUCACAUCCCCAGUUUCCACAUCAGUAAAUGUUGAGUAAGAAACUCUUGUUUCUUAAUCAUUUAGACACCAAGGACAGAUGUGGAGGGGAAAUGUUGAGGACAUGUUAGGAAUGGCAUGCUGCGGUCCAAGGGACUGGACAGAGAUUGGGCAUCACUUGCCUAGAAAUGAGGACUGAAGCCUUAGCAACGGGGGUGACAGCCCUGGGAGAGAGCCAGCAGCGAGGUUUUGGGUAGAGACUGAAAAGAAAAAUAAAGGAAGCUUUGUGUGUGGCUUGUCCUUGACGGAGGCACCACUAUGAAGAGCUUGACAUGAGCCUUUGAGCCAAGAUGGGAGCAGAAGGGUCAGCCUUCCGUCCCUGCGGGGGCAGCACUGGCCACCCGCCGUGGGCAGAAUUUGGUGAUGAACACGGAAGGACCUUGAAUUAGGACCAGAACAUGGCCACAUCCUUGGAAGUUCACAGUCCAGGAGGGGCACAACACACAACCACAAAUGAUGGCAGGGAAACCUCCAGAGACAGACGCACAAGCUACGUGAGUCGCAUCAGAGAGCUCUGACAUCUGGGGAGUUUCCCGUGGGAUGGCCUUGAUGCUGGAAAGGGACCUGGGCGCACAGAGACGGGACGUUCUCCAGGGGGACACCUGAGCAGAGGCACGAAGCUGUCCCUGGGGGGGUCCCUGGGAGGAGCUCUGUUUGAAUCAGAGGAGGUGCAAAGAGAAGGUGGAAAUGUCAUCAGGGACACGGACAAGACAGCGUCCAGGGGCCAAGACUUAGAGCAGUGAAGGGCUAGGAUGUCCCAGAGAAAACUGGAAAACGUGGGUUGACAGGGAAAGAGCCUGCACAGUGGGGAUGCGUGCCCCCAGGUCUGGAGCCAGGAUGGGGAGAGCGGGACGCAGGCCACCGUCUCCAGGGAGGAUGGUCAUCAAAUGUGUCUCCAGCUCUGCCCGUCUGGUGCCCACUGACACCCCCGGGCCUCCACGCGGUCUGUGUCCUGGAGACUCUGACUGCUCCUCAGAGUCCCCCCAGGGGAUGGGUCCCGAGGAUGGGCCCCGGGACGGAGGACCACGCCUUCCCCUUGUGUCUCUACACCCGCCCUCUCCUCUGCUUGCCUGACCCCCACACAUGUACUGCCUGGGAAGCUCGGAAAACCAGCUAGUGCCAAGGUGCUCUUUUUUCCUUCCAAAAAGUUAACUUUUUUCCCCCAAAGGAACUUUAAGACUGAAACCGUGUGUUUCAGACAGCGCCUGACUCGGCCACUUCCCAGAAAACACAGACCAAAGAAAAACACAGCCCGGAGGGAGAAGCAGGAUGGUGUGCCCCCCACGGCUGGCAUCCGGGAGCCGUGCCAGCCGAGCAGCAGGACGAUGGAAGCAGGUUGAGACCCCGCCCGCAGCCCGGCCAGCCCGGUUUGGCGAUCCAGAACCCAGCAGGCCCGGUGGGGCAGGAGGUCCUCCUUCCCUGCCCCUCCCUGAUCUCUGCCCUCCCCAGAGCUCCUCAUCACCUAGGAAAACCGGUAGUCUGUCCUUCUCCAGCUCAGUCCCCGCCUGGGAAGAGCCGACCCACUGGAAAAGACCCUGAUGCUGGGAAAGACUGAAGGCCAAAGAAGGGGGCGGCAGAGGAUGAGAUGGCUGGAUGGCAUCACUAACUCAAUGGAGAUGAACUUGGGCAAACUCCAGGAGAUAGUGAGGGACAGGGAAGUCCGUGGCGUCACAGAGUCGGACACGACUUAGCAACCGAACAACCAGCACAGAUUGAUAACUGAUAUAGAAUCAAAUCGUCAGCAAAGUCAACCUGUUCUGAAACCCAGGGGGACACAGCUGAUAUCUGUCCUCCCGCAUCCCAACCUCCAGGCCAGGAGAACUGCAGUCUUCUCGCCAACCCUACCAUCACUCAGGGCCCCCUGGCCCUCACCUAGUUGCUGAAAAAGGUUUGCCUCCUCUGAUCUGGCCCCGUUCCAAUCAGGGCUGCACUGUGCCCAACAGGGUCCUUUAAAGGCCAGUCAGAAGACCCCCUGGACGUCUCCCCACCAUCCUACAGUCAGAAGACCCCCUGGAAGUCUCCCCACCGUCCUAGGUUACAGUCAGAAGACCCCCUGGACGUCUCCCCACCGUCCUAUAGUCAGAAGACCCUCUGGAUGUCUCCCCACAGUCCUAGGUCACAGCUGGGUAAAGGCCAGUCAGAACACCCCUCUGGAUGUCUCCCCACAGUCCUAUAGUCAGAAGACCCCCUGGACGUCUCCCCACCAUCCUAGGUUACAGUCAGAAGACCGCCUGGACGUCUCCACAGGGUCCUACAGUUAGAAGACCCCCUGGACGUCUCCCCAGGGUCCCUACAGUCAGAAGACCCCCUGGACGUCUCCCCACCGUCCUACAGUCAGAAGACCCCCUGGACGUCUCCCGACAGUCCUAGGUUACAGUCAGAAGACUGCCUGGAUGUCUCCCCAGGGCCCCUACAGUCAGAAGACCCCCUGGACGUCUCCCCACCGUCCUACAGUCAGAAGACCCCCUGGACGUCUCCCGACAGUCCUAGGUUACAGUCAGAAGACCCCCUGGGCGUCUCCCCACCAUCCUAGGUUACAGUCAGAAGACCCCCUGGAUGUCUCCCCACCGUCCUAUAGUCAGAAGACCCCCUGGAUGUCUCCCCACCAUCCUACAGUCAGAAGACCCCCUGGACGUCUCCCCACCAUCCUAGGUUACAGUCAGAAGACCCCCUGGACGUCUCCCCAGGGCCCCUACAGUCAGAAGACCCCCUGGACGUCUCCCCACCGUCCUACAGUCAGAAGACCCCCUGGACGUCUCCCGACAGUCCUAGGUUACAGUCAGAAGACCCCCUGGGCGUCUCCCCACCAUCCUAGGUUACAGUCAGAAGACCCCCUGGAUGUCUCCCCACCGUCCUAUAGUCAGAAGACCCCCUGGAUGUCUCCCCACCGUCCUACAGUCAGAAGACCCCCUGGACGUCUCCCCACCAUCCUAGGUUACAGUCAGAAGACCCCCUGGAUGUCUCCCCACCGUCCUACAGUCAGAAGACCCUCUGGAUGUCUCCCCACUGUCCUAGGUCACAGCUGGGUAAAGGCCAGUCAGAAGACCCCCUGGAUGUCUCCCCACAGUCCUACAGUCAGAAGACCCCCUGGCCGUCUCCCCACAGUCCUACAGUCAGAAGACCCCCUGGACGUCUCCCCAGGGUCCCUACAGUCAGAACACCCCCUGGACGUCUCCCCAGGGUCCCUACAGAGGCCAGUCAGAAGACCCCCUGGACGUUUCCCCACAGUCCUACAGUCAGAAGACCCCCUGGACGUUUCCCCACUGUCCUACAGUCAGAAGACCCCCUGGACGUCUCCCCACAGUCCUACAGUCAGAAGACCCUCUGGACGUCUCCCCACAAUCCUAGGUCACAGCUGGGUAAAGGACAGUCAGAACACCCCUCUGGACGUCUCCCCACAGUCCUACAGUCAGAACACCCCUCUGGACGUCUCCCCACAGUCCUACAAUCAGAAGACCCCCUAGACAUCUCCCCACAGUCCUAGGUUCAAGCUGGGGCUCACCUUGGCCACCUCCCCUCCCCCCAGCGGCACCUGGACCACUUGUCCUGUGAAAUUCUCUCUGGCUGGAACCUCCCUGCACACACCGAGCUUGUCCCCAGCCCCUCAUCCCCAAGCCUUCUUGUCUCUCUGCCUAGGAUGUGCCCCCCUCUCUCCCCACCCCCCGACCCCUGACCCCUUCCUUCUCGUGCCUGAAGACUCAGCUCAAGGAACUGCUUCCCCAGCAGGCAAAGGCAGGAGAACCUUCUGGCACGGCACACACAGAAGCCCUCCCUCAGUGCACCAUGCACACGCAGCUGUGCCAUGAGGCACCGCGCUCAUUCUCUCCCGGAGCUGGCCUUUCAGCACCGGUGCAGACCCAGCUCUCACCGGGCACACUCACUGGGCAGACAGCGCUGAAGGCCCAAGUCCUGGGUUGUCGAUGCUAAUCAGUGAACAUCAGCAACACGACCCCCGAGGACGCUGGGUACAGUGCGGCUGUCACUUCCUUCUCUACCUUCCGAGAGCCAAUCUAGUAUUUGACACAAGCAGCAUGGCCGCUGAGUCUGUCGAGUGAGUGUGAAAUGGUAAGCUUCGGGGUGACGAUGGCCAUGCAGUGCUGAGUAUGGAGAAAUACACGUACAGAGCGUGGGGAAGAGCAGAAAAAGGGAAGAGGAGCGUCCCUGGGGGCUCAGACAGUGAAGACUCUGCCUGCAGUGCAGGAGACCCUGGGUUGGUCCCUGGGUCAAGAAGAUCCCCUGGAGAAGGGAAUGGCAACCCACUCCAGUAUUCCUGCCUGGAGAAGCCCAUGGACAGAGGAGCCUGGUGGGCUACAGUCCAUGGGAUCGCAGAGAGUUGGACACAACUGAGUGACUAGCGUUUUCACUUUCCAAUGCAAGGGGCACAGGUUCGAUCUCUGGUCUUGGAGCUACGAUCCUGCAUGCUGCACAGCUUGGCCAAAAAAAAAAGAGGAAAAAAGAAAGAAAAGGGGAAGAGGAGAACUUCACCAAAUAAUGGGUUGGUGCAGAAAAAGACAGUGGUGCAUGCUGCCCUGAAGUUACAGGAUGUCUCAGUCAGCUCGGCGGCUGUAACAGAAUCGCAUAGCCAGGACAGGAAUUUGAACCUCAGGGUCCUCUUGGCUGGAAGCACACCAGCAGGGUGCCCGUAUGGUCCACCUCCGCCCAGGGUCCUCCUGCAGGGGAGACAUAGCUCUGGGGUCUCCUCCUCUCCUUACAAAGACCCCAGUCCCAGCAUGGGGACUCCAUCCUUGUCCUCAUCUAGCUCUAAUCACCCCACAAAGGCCCAGCUCCUAACACCAACACGCUGGAGGUACAGGGGGUAGGGUUUCAACAUUAGAAUUUGGAGAGAGGGAAACAUCCAGUCCAUAACAACCUCCCUGAGUUUCAAAGAGCUAGCUAGUGUGGUUGGUGGGGAGGGGUCUGCAAGGCGAGGAUGUGUCCCUCUGGUCUCUGUUUUUGUUGCAAGUCUAAGUCCAGGGCACCUGCUCAGUUGCUAGGGGUAGGGCUUGGGGAGUUGCAGGGAAAACCAUUCAAGUUUAAAAUGACUCUUGAAGAGCAUGGGAAAGGCAGCUCUACAAAGGUGGGAAGAGGACCCCUCCCCCAGCCCAACAGCAUGGACACCCACUGUCUAGACAUCACGUAGGUGUGUGCUUUUCCUGGGAAGAGUCCUGCAUGGCCAGCGAGGGGCACGUGGGGCGGGGGCGGGUACACAGAGAAGUGGAGAGAGGAGCUUGCAGCAGAGACGAGGCCGGGCUCCUGGGCAGGGCCUAAGGAACCUGCCAGCUCUGGUCUUUACUCCCAUCACCAAGAGCCAGGAUGGCCAGGAGAGAGAGUCUGACGGGGACACAGCUGUAACUGGCCCCGGGGCUGGGCCCUCAGGGUGCACGGGUCCCCGGCAGCGGGCACAGGACUGGGCAAAUCUCAGUGAGCAGCGUGCCACGGAGGACCACCUGUGGUCGGAUGGAGAACCAGCAAAGGUUUGAAAAUGGGGCACGUGAGAAACGACCUUUCCUCACAUUAAACUUCACUUAAUGGAAAUAAAUGCUGUGCGGUUGCCGUGGCCCUGAGGAUAAAAAGCCUCUGGUAUCACCUCCUGCAGCCUCGGUCCCCACCCCGCCUUGGUAAACAGAGUUGGAGGCGCACGAUUGGCUCCUGUGUGAAAGCAGCUUGGCUCCCGGUCAAGUCCGAGAUUCUUCGUUCUUAGUGCUUAAAAGAAUGGGAAGCACACAACCCAAAUCCACAACUACAAAGACAGCUCUCUAUGAAAACCCAGCUGUCAAGCGACAUCCAUUAGUUGUAUCCAAGGGAUCCCGCUCGGAGUUUGUGCUUGUUCCUCUUUUCUUCAUCAGUUUAAGGGCUUUCUGGCAGGUGAAAAACCCCACUCUGUUCCAAGCCAGGUGUAAGUCAGAACCAGCAUGACUGACUGAAUUCCAUUUUUCUGCUUCUUUUUGAAUGAAUAAUCACCAGCCUGCCUGGAAACUUCAUUCGCCUUUCUCUCGCCAAGCAGUAGACCGUAAAGUUCACUUUUGAACUGGCCAUAAACUCGCCAACUUUCGCUCCUACAGAUUCCUCAGGUGACUAUGACAGAAAGUAUAUUUCGCCCCAGCCUUUACUUUUCCAUUUUCUUUCCCCAAAUAUGUGCUACUUGCUAUCCCCCCGGGGUAUGGAGACUCUCUGAAACAGACGGAAUUUCCAAGCUGGGGUAACUUGUCCAGGCCUUCCAAUCGCUCAGCAACUACCACACAGCUUUAAAAAACAAAUCUCACGAGUGUUUCAAACCUGACAACUAAUCUAUUAUACAACUGAAAUUAUUCUUUGCAGAAAUGUUAAGUGUCACACCACAGAGCCUAAGAUUUUCAGCUCACUCCAUUAUUCCCAGAUAAAUCUCAGUAAAUGAAUCUAUAGAUAUAUAGAUAUACUCCCUGAUGCUGGGAAACACUGAGGGCGAGAGGAGAAGAGGGUGGCAAAGGAUGAGAUGGUUAGACAGCAUCACCGACUCAUUGGUCACUAACCUGAGCAAACUCCAGGAGAUCGUGGAGGACAGGGAAGCCCGGCAUGCUAUAGUCCAUGGGAUCACAAAUAGUGCGAAAUGACUUGGCGACUGGACAACAACAACAAAUAUAUACAUAAAUAUACACACACAUAUAUAGCCAACACGUCAAAUUUCCUCCCUGAUAUACAAAUUUUUUAAAAAUCAGAUUUUGCUCAGCAAGUUUGGAAGAAAGAGAACACUACCUUCAAACACGUAACAACAGAAUAGCGAGUCUAGAACUGAAGCUGGAGACACUUCAGUGAGUAUGAAGCCACUCAAGCUUUUCUUAGAAAAAGCAGUAAAGAACAUUCCUUCCCGCAACAUCACCUCUUUGAACAGUGACACUGAUAUAACAAAAGCCAGUGAAUGAUAAAACCAAGGUGGGCAGGAAAAUGUGGGAUGGGGUACUCGAUCUGACGCAUCUCCAUUCCAACGGGUACAUCCAGCCCCCACUAACCGUGGGGUUCUCUUAGUAUAGUAGAGAGAUACUGCUUUCUCUUUUAAGUUUACACGCAUUUGGGAGGUUUUGUUUUUAAUCAGAGCAUAGCUGAUUUCUGGUGUCUCGGGAACAGCAAAGUGAUUCAGUUACACAUAUACAUACACGUUAUGUCCAGGUUCUCUUCUGCUGUUGAACGCAGCGCCUUGUGCUGUACAGUCGGUCGUUGUUGCUUAUCUAUUUUAGAAUACAGUAAUGUGACUCUGGUUUCAGUUUUUUAAACAGUUGCUAAGUUGUUAGGACAUAAAUAGCUAAUACGUUGUGCGGACCCAAUUCCUCAUACAGAGUGGGAAGGAUGUGCUUUUGACUUAGGGAUUGCUGUGAAAAAUCGCUGAGACGUGAGGCCAAGGACAGAGGAGGCACAGAAGUCUCUGAGCUCUGUUAUCAACGCCCUGGUUUGGCACUUGGCCCGGGCAGGGGGCCGGGAGGGCCCCCAGGAUGCCUUCUUGUUUUCCCUACUCUCGGCGCCUCACCCGCUUCUACGGGGCCUGGACUUAUCCAUUCACGGAAGAGGCCUGCUCAGGAAACAGAUGUGCAGGCUGCAGAGGAAACCCACAAUCACCGCCCACGGGAACCAGCCCAGGCCUCCAUUCAUAAAAACGCAGCAAAUCCAGGGCCCCGAGACAGGAGGGGAAAGACCAGCGCGGAAGAUAAGGAUAAUGACGAACAAAUAAAGCAGCUCACCAGAGAGGAAACAGAAAUAACAAUAAUAAUAAUAAUAAUAAACCCAAUUUGAUCGUGAAAGAUUAGAGAGGAAACUGCACCCAUAAAAUUAGAAUUGGCCGCGAUUAGAAGAAGGAGGGGGAAGGGGAAGGAGAAGAAGGAAACAGCGUCCACAGAAGAGAAAGAGACGCUUGGAAAUAAAAUCAGGGUCACAGGAUCGACAAAAUAAAAAUGGAUGGAAACACGGAGCUGGUUAUCUGGACAAUCCUCCUCCACCGUGUGGGCCAGACAGUCCACAGACGGAGUCAAAGCAAUUCCUCGGAUCCAGGAGCUAAACAGACAGAUGAGCAACUGAAAACUUCACAGUCUUGCAAGAUUUGUCCAGCAGGCUCAGACUGUCUAGUAGAGGUUCAGAGACAGAGAUGUUAGAAAGAAAGAAAGAGUAAGAGAAAUGAUUGAAGCAUCGUUUUCAGGGCUGAAGUUGCUCAGCUCACGGCCCACCAAGGACCCAACAGGAAGAAGAAAUACAUCCACAUCCUGAUGACAUGUGAGAACAUCAAACAUGAGAGGAAAAUUCUGAAAGUUCACAGGACAGAGAACAGAAGAGGGGAAAGUGUCGGGGACGAACCACCGGCAGUUGCAGGAAGCUGAGAACACUCACAAGGAGUUUAAAGGAACGCAGGAGGCCUUGGCCUCGGUGGACGCUCCUUCGAGUGGUCAGCGUGAGUGACGUGGGUUACAUUGCCGUUGGGACAAGUUCAGUCACACACACCUGGUUUUGGAGAGGAUAGAAGUUGCAUAAUUAUAAUAUUAUGUGCUGCCAGGGAGGGACAAGUACCACAGGAAAGGAACAAGCUGUAGAAGUGGGCACUCGCACCCUAUUGAAACUAAACACACACAUGUGCAUAUGAACACACACGUGUACGAAGACAGAGAUGGUGGUGAUGAGAAGGAGGAGGAAGAUGGAUAGACAGAUAGACAAAUAGAUGUAAACAUUCUAAAGGACAUAGUAGGUGAAAUAAAUCAGAGGAAGACAAACAUCACACGAUAUCGCUUAUAUGUGGAAUCCAAAAAAAAAAAAAUGAUAAAAAUGAACUUAUUUAAAAAACAGACUCCCAGACUUAGAAAACAAACGUACGGUUGCCAAGACAGACAGAUGAGGGGAGGGAUAAAAUGGCCGUUUGGGACUGACAUAUACACACGACUACAUAUGUAAAAUCGGGAACCCACAAAGACCUACCAUGUGGCACAGGGAACUCUGCUCAGCACUCCGUAGUAGCCUAAACGGGAGACGAUUUGAAGGAGAAUAGAUACAUAUGUAUUUGCACAGCGGAAUCAAUUUGCUGUGCCCCUGAAACGAGAGCAACAAUGCAAAUCAACUCUGCUCCAAUGUAAAAUAAAAGCAUGAAUAAAUGAAAAUUUAAAAAUAAAUAAAUAAAAGGACACAGAGCAGACAGGUGGGAAGAGGGAGAAUGUUAAUCACGCAUCUGUGUUCUACUCUUUGCGACCCCUGGACUGUAGGCCGCCAGGUUCCUCUGUCCAUGGAUUCUCCAGACAAGAACACUGGAGUGGGUUGCCAAGCCCUCCUCCAGGGGAUCUUCCCACCGCAGGGAUGGAACCUGCGUCUCUUGUGUCUCCUGCAUUGGCAGGCGGGCUCUUUACCACUGGUGCCACCUGGGAAGGCUCACUACCUACACCACUGUUCUCCUUGCCCUCCAGAACUUCCCCCUCAGCAGUGGGGCCAGCUGUCCUUGGGUGUGAAAAGCAGUGGGAAAAAAAUGUCUCCAAACACGGUGGAACAUUCUAGAUCAUCUUGGGAGAAGAGAGCAGGAGGGAGAAUCCCCAUGUCACCCUCUCCUGGCCUUCUGUCCCGGGGAUGCCCCUCAAAUAGGGUGGCCUGUGGGGUGGACAGACGCCAUGCAGGGAACCACAGCUGGAAGCCUCAGGAUGGCCUGGUUCUGCAUCCAUGGAGAAACCAUGGGUCAGGGAGGAAACUGGACUGAUUCUCAGCUGCCCUGGGUUAGAGGCACAGGCCAAGGUGAGCGACAUAAUCCCCCCUCGUGCGGGUGCCUUUCUGACGCUCAGAUGAGUUAGCACACAAAAGCCUCUCGCAGACACGACCUCACACCUGUAGCGGGCAGGGCCCGGAUGCUCCAAGGGCCACACAGCCAACCCUCAUGUUCUGAGCAGAGACCUGAGUCAGUUCUCUGGUGGCCGGCCCCCUCCAAAACCUUCCCUGGGCUUGUCGACCAGGAUCUCACUAUAGGAAAUGUAUCAGUUCAGUUGCUCAGUCGUGUCCAACUCUUUGCGACCCCAUGGACAGCAGCACACCAGGCCUCCCUGUCCAUCACCAACUCCCAGAGUUUACCCAAACUCAUCCCAAUGUGAGUCAAAGACUCUUUUCUGAAAUGUAAUCAAAAACCAUCUGCAGAAGAAACCAGAAUAAGAAGUAAGUACAAUUCAAGUCUUAUUGUUGCCUCUGUCUCUCAAAAGAAAAACAAAAAAAAGCAGAUAUUUUUGGCAUAUAAAUUUUAUUUCAAAACAUCUGAUCCUGAGACAAAAAAAAUAAGUCAUUUUUUUUAAUGCAUCAGGACAGUCAUCAACAGGGUAUAAGCUUUCUACAAGAUCUGCCCCGCCCCCCCACCAUGGAUGGUUCUUUAAUCCCCUGUCCUUGAAAAAGGAUGAACGCAAAAUCAAGUCCUGAAUAUUGAAUAUUAUUGAAUUGAAUAUAACCUUGAAUAUUAUUAUAUAAACAAAAUGAGUCUCGAGCAUUAGAAAACACUUAAGAAUUAAGAAUGUGUUUUUAAUGCCCAUGAAAAAAAAUAUGACAAAGCGUGGGUGUAAGGGGGACUGUUUAAAGCUGAGAUGAUGCUCUCGCCCAGGCCUCCCCGAGCCCGCUGCUGUGAGUCUUUGGGUCCCUGGGGAGGACACUUUGUUUUCUUCCACAUUCUGACAUCAUCUGAUGCAACCUGAUGCAAAACGACCCACUUCUCGUCAAAGGAGAAACUGGAAGAGAGGCGGGGGUAACUCUGUCCCAGGAGAGUCUCCAGGAGCAGAUGAGGGGAGGCCAGAGGGCGAGGGUGGGGCCGACCGCCUCCCAUAGCUCAGGGAAGCGGUGGUUCCUCUGAAAAGCAGGAUCCAUCUUUAAAGAGUGGGAAUCCUUGCAGGUGGGGGUCAUAAUGCAAACCUUCGGAUAAAAAGCCAAGGCUUAUUUCAGAAAGUCUGAGUGACUGCUCCACAGGUCAUGGGAAGAGGGCUUGGAGCAGAGCAUAGGUAGAAAUAAGAUCCCCUAAGAAGGGAGAGACGGCUUCCCUGGUGGGCUCAGACUGUAAAGAAUCUGCCUGCAAUGCUGGAGACCCAAGUUCGAUCCCUGGGUCAGGAAGAUGCCCCAGAGAAGGGAAUGGCAGCCCACUCCAGUAUUCUUGUCUGGAGAAUCCCAUGGACAGAGGAGCCUGGCAGGCUACAGUCCAUGGGAUCGCAGAGGGUCACAACUGAGAGAUAACUCACACACACACAAGAAGGGAAGAGAGCAGGAGUGACCCUAGUGAUGCUAGGUCCUCGGGGCCCCUUUGUAGUGGUCCUGGGGGCCGUGGGGGGCGGAUGGGGAGCUUCUUCUAGGGCUCCCACUUCCCAAGGAGGAGGCCAGCCUGGGGAAUGUCACAGCAGGUGAGCGCAGGCCAGGCCAGCAGGGCACACGUGCGAUGAAGGAAAGCUCCCUGAAAUGUGUCACUGGGGCCAGGGCCCUCGGGAUGGCUCCGUGAGAACAGCGUGUGAGCCGCCUGCGGCCUAUGGGACCCGGGUCCAGAGGCCUGCUCCCCUGGCCUUACACAGACAUGUAGCGUCCAGCACGCGGCUUCUCACACUGGCAAGUAGUACGUGUGAGCACAGGAUUGAGACGUCGCUGUGAAAACGGUUUAUCUUAUCUACGGAUAAAUGAAUGAACUGAAUAAAGAACAAAAUACAGACCGGUAAGAUACUGCGUGAAGUUACCAUCUUGUUAUCAAAUUCAUUUGUAUAACAAUAGAAGCAAGUGCAUGCCUGGACUGACGUAAGAACUUUCAGGGUUUUGAAGCACUUCGUUAUCCACUCUGUCGCCCACAGAGAGGCGAGGAGGCUGAGGCUCCAGCGGUCGGGCAAUCCCGAGGCCAGAGGGAUGAAGGGCAAGCGGGACUCAACCCCAAGGAGUCGGGGACCAGUCACCACCCUCCACCAGUGUGUGAGCACCACGCUGCCAAGUCACGAUUUUAAGAACCCCUGUCUUUCCCUGGUUGUCAGAUUUGCUUCAUCUUGUUCAGAUUAUGUACAUUCCAGACAUCUUUCGGGUUACGUGGUUAACACGUUGGCCAACGAGAACCAGACUGUGGCUUGUUUAUUGCUCUCUACACAGCUCCUCAAAGAUGGGUGUUAACCUAAUUUCCUCAUCGCUGACUGUGAGAGAGUACUUAAGCUUGGAAGCUGUCUAAGUCACUGUUUAUUUUAAGGCUCAAAUAAAACAGGAUCCAUGAAAUUGCUUCAGAUGCUUUUCAGGGGCUCUGAACUCACAGAAUACCAUCAUUGGUGGUUUUUAAGAUUUUAUUUUAGUUGAAGCAUAAUUAGAGCAGAAAAUACUUUUUAAAAAAAUAUUGAGAAAUUUUUCCACAG